GAUGAACGCUAGCGGCAGGCCUAACACAUGCAAGUCGAGGGGUAACAGGGAGCUUGCUCCGCUGACGACCGGCGCACGGGUGCGUAACGCGUAUACAAUCUACCUUUUGCUACGGGAUAGCCCAGAGAAAUUUGGAUUAAUACCGCAUAGUAUAUUGAGAUCGCAUGGUUUUAAUAUUAAAGGUUACGGCAGAAGAUGAGUAUGCGUUCUAUUAGCUAGAUGGUGUGGUAACGGCAUACCAUGGCAACGAUAGAUAGGGGCCCUGAGAGGGGGAUCCCCCACACUGGUACUGAGACACGGACCAGACUCCUACGGGAGGCAGCAGUGAGGAAUAUUGGACAAUGGGCGAGAGCCUGAUCCAGCCAUGCCGCGUGCAGGAAGACGGCCCUAUGGGUUGUAAACUGCUUUUAUACAGGAAGAAACACCUCUACGAGUAGAGGCUUGACGGUAC
rnacentral:rRNA from 1 species